UGUGAGUGUAAAAUCAUCUCAACAAUUCUCAAAAAUUAUAGUAAUACAAGGAAAUAAAAUGGAGAAAUUUGGAAGCAUGCCCCAUAGAUUCCAGAAAUUGGAUAGUCAAACAUAAACUCAAAUUUUAAUGGCAAGAAUUCAAAUACUAACGUCAACCAUCUACGAUAUAAAAAAUAAAACUCAACAAGUACCAAAGAAAUUUUUGAUGACGCAUGUAUUCAGCACAAAAAAAAAAAGGCAUAAAAAUUCAAGGCAAAAGAUGUCCCUGAAGGACAAUUGUACUUUCUACAAAAGCAGAGCGCUUAGCCUCUUAAAUGAAAAUGCAUUGGUUAAAAUAUACUCAAGCUGUUAUGUCCAUUAGGCAAAUUCCAAAAUCAAUUUCACCAUCCCAAAUUCACGAUAAUAGCCAUUAGGCAAAUUCCAAAAUCGACUACUACUUCAUAAAAAAGUGAUUAAACCACAUCAAAGUUUAUUUCUUUGAUCGACAAUUUAGCUAUCGCACAAAAUAUCAACUCCUUGAACACCACAAAAAUGAUAAGGAUAUAUCGUUAGUAAAACUACGAAGAGAAUUUGAUUAACAUAUGAGCUCUAACCGAAAUACAUCUAUAAACACCACACCUUCCAAAAAAAUGAUUAAGGGUACAACUAGAAUACUAACAUAAUAUAGAUCCAUAAAACAUCAACACAUAAAGACUACCCCGUGCAAAACUUCAUCAUGGUACAUGUGAAGAAGUCCAUAUGAAUUACAUAACAACAUAUAAUUGGAGAACUCUUUGAAAAAGAAAAUAGAACUACGAAGAUAAGCAUCAAUCACUAAGGUAAUUUCCUUCAAAUGUUGUCAUGAUCUUAAGUCAUUUUAUAUAAAUAAUCAUUUUGGUAGCCAAAUAAAAAACUAAUGUUCAAUUCAAAUAAACCACUUAUCAACUUCUUGAUUUUAAACAACCUAAUCUUCAAUUGAGAAUGAACGUAAAUGUAAAUAGAACUAAAAUAGAAAAGAAGUUAAGCAUACCUUUGUUAUGAUUACAGCGAAGCCACAUCGAUGUACCUAAUUGGCAUGCAAUUGUACUUCCUAAUGCCUCUUCAAGAAGAAAAAGCUCACAUGUUGGACAAUAUAAGCUAACAUUAUUAAUCACUUCAUUAAUCCAAACUCUCCAACAUUUAUUACCAAGGGGUACAUGAUGCACUAGAUCACUUGGAUUUGUUGAUACGGUUUCAACUUUUGCAGCAAUACCAGCUUUUCCAAACCAAGACAACAAUUUGCAUUUCUUAUUUAGAAGGUUAUCUACACCAUUCAAGUUGUUGUCUCUAGGUUGUAAAAUUCAUAUUUAAUUAUACAAUUUAUUAUUUUGAAUAUAGAAAGUAUAUGUAAUUUAGAAUAAUAUUCAUUGAUUCUAGUUUUUCAUUUACAUUAUCUUUUUGUUCAACAUUUUUACUCUUCACUUGAAAUAAAGCUUUUAACUCUUUAAUUUAAUCUCUCAACUCUUAGACUUGAGUUUGCAAGUUAUGAUUGUGCACCAAAGCAUUCAACUUUGAAGGAGUUGUAUCGAAACCAAGACAUUUUACCUGUCCUCGACAUUCUGGAGCAAGUACUCUUGCAAUAACACUAUCUUUGAGGGAGUAUUUGCUUGACGAGAUAACUAUCUCUGAAUAUGUUUUUAUUUUGUUCUAAUAUGAGGAAAUACAUUAACGGGCUAAAAUUAUAAAUAUAAGCUUUGAAUGGUCAGAAAUUACUAAAAGCAAUAUUUUUACCAAUGUUUCCCCAAUUGAUU
rnacentral:lncRNA from 1 species